UCCGUAACGAGCGCAACCCUUGUCCUUAGUUACCAGCACGUUAUGGUGGGCACUCUAAGGAGACUGCCGGUGACAAACCGGAGGAAGGUGGGGAUGACGUCAAGUCAUCAUGGCCCUUACGGCCUGGGCUACACACGUGCUACAAUGGUCGGUACAGAGGGUUGCCAAGCCGCGAGGUGGAGCUAAUCUCACAAAACCGAUCGUAGUCCGGAUCGCAGUCUGCAACUCGACUGCGUGAAGUCGGAAUCGCUAGUAAUCGCGAAUCAGAAUGUCGCGGUGAAUACGUUCCCGGGCCUUGUACACACCGCCCGUCACACCACGAGAGUUCGU
rnacentral:rRNA from 1 species